GACGAACGCUGGCGGCGUGCUUAACACAUGCAAGUCGAACGGAAAGGCCCCUUCGGGGGUACGCGAUCGGCGAACAGGUGAGUAAGAAGUGAGUAACCUGCCCUUGCCUUCGGGAUAACUACAGGAAAGUGGGGCUAAUACCGGCUGGGUAUCCUUGCUGCCUGCAGGGGGUUGGAUAGAUUCGGCCGGUUUGGGUGGACUCGCGGCCUUUCAGCUUGGUGGUGGGGGAGUGGCUUACCAAGGCUUUGACGGGUAGCCGGCCUGAGGGGGCGACCGGCCACAUUGGGACUUGGGUACGGCCCAGACUCCUACGGGGGGCAGCAGGGGGGAAUUUUGGACAAUGGGCGGGAGCCUGAUGCAGCAACGCCGCGGGCGGGAUGACGGCCUUUGGGUUGUAAACCGCUUUCAGCAGGUGAGGAGCCGGGGGUGACGGUACCUGCAGAAGAAGCACCGGCUAACUACGUG
rnacentral:rRNA from 1 species